rnacentral:misc_RNA from 1 species
UGAAAACCAAGAACUAAACCCACAUC